rnacentral:rRNA from 1 species
UACGUAGGUGGCAAGCGUUGUCCGGAAUUAUUGGGCGUAAGGCGCGCGCAGGCGGCCUUUUAAGUCUGAUGUGAAAGCCCACGGCUCAACCGUGGAAGGUCAUUGGAAACUGAAAGGCUUGAGUACAGAAGAGGAAAGCAGAAUUCCACGUGUAGCGGUGAAAUGCGUAGAGAUGUGGAGGAACACCAGUGGCGAAGGCGGCUUUCUGGUCUGUAACUGACGCUGAGGCGCGAAAGCGUGGGGAGCAAACAGG